rnacentral:rRNA from 1 species
AUUGAACGCUGGCGGCAUGCUUUACACAUGCAAGUCGAACGGUAACAGGGUGCUUGCACCGCUGACGAGUGGCGAACGGGUAAGUAAUGCGUCGGAACGUGCCGAGUAGUGGGGGAUAACGCAGCGAAAGUUGUGCUAAUACCGCAUACGUACUGAGGUAGAAAGUGGGGACCUUCGGGCCUCACGCUAUUCGAGCGGCCGACGUCUGAUUAGCUAGUAGGUGAGGUAAAGGCUCACCUAGGCGACGAUCAGUAGCGGGUCUGAGAGGAUGAUCCGCCACACUGGGACUGAGACACGGCCCAGACUCCUACGGGAGGCAGCAGUGGGGAAGUUUGGACAAUGGGCGAAAGCCUGAUCCAGCCAUGCCGCGUGUCUGAAGAAGGCCUUCGGUUUGUAAAGGACUUUUGUCGGGGAGGAAAUCCCCAGCGUUAAUACCGCUGGGGGAUGACAGUACCUGAAGAAUAAGCACCGGCUAACUACGUGCCAGCAGCCGCCGCGGUAA